CUUAUACUCCCUCCGUCCAGAAAUACUUGUCAUCAAAAUGAAUUAAAGGGAAUGUAUCUAGACGUAUUUUAGUUCUAGAUACACCCCUUUUUAUCCAUUUUGGUGAUCUGUAUUUUUGGACGGAGGGAGUACUAU
rnacentral:pre_miRNA from 1 species